rnacentral:lncRNA from 1 species
UGUAGUAGAAAUAAGAUCAGUUCGACAAGACAACCAUCAUAAGUGUAUGGAAGCAUCUAUGCCAAACUGCCAGUCAAUAACGAAUUAUGGACAUCCUCAUUUGGGAAGAAUAUGGUUCGGUUGGUCAGAAAAGGUAAUGGUAAGACUAUCUCCAAUGUAUUUUGCUAUUUUUUCUCUUAAAUAGAGGAAUUUUAUAAAAGAUAUAAUAUUUGCCCUAAUGUAUUUUUCUA